CCCCAACAUGGAUUAGGAUUCCCUGCCUUUCUUUCUUCCUAACACUACAAUAUAGUAACAAAACCUCAUUAAUCUUCUUCCAAUAAUUCAAGAAUUGAAACCACACAUGGCGUUGAGGAUUCCUCUCCAUUUACUUCUCCUAAUUCAUUUAAUAGCACCCAUAUAUGCAAAUUCAGAAGGUGAUGCUCUUUAUGCAUUGAGGAGGGCUGUGAAAGACCCUGAAAAUGUUUUGCAAAGCUGGGAUCCUACCUUGGUGGACCCCUGCACUUGGUUUCAUGUCACCUGUGAUGCUCAAAAUAGAGUCACUCGCCUUGAUCUUGGAAAUGCAAAGCUGUCAGGGAAGCUUGUUCCUGAGCUGGGGAAGCUGGAGAGGCUCCAAUAUCUGGAAGUGUACAUGAACAACUUGAUGGGGCCGAUUCCGGGUGAAUUGGGGCUAUUGAGGAGUCUAGUGAGCCUUGAUUUGUACCACAAUAACCUCACUGGUUCCAUCCCUCCUUCAUUGUCCAAUCUUUCCAAUCUCAAGUUCUUGCGGUUAAACGGUAAUAGACUGAGAGGGAGAAUACCAAGGGAGCUCACCAAGCUUGGAAACCUCAAGAUUUUUGAUGUGUCGAAUAACGAUUUGUGUGGUACAAUUCCUACAUCUGGCUCCUUUUCUAAACUCACAGAACAAAGUUUUAUGAACAACUCAAGAUUAGAAGGGCCUGAGCUGGUGGGCUCUGUGACAUACGACAUCGGAGGAUGCUAAUGAAUUGCGUAAGAUUUGACUGUUUUGUGCAAAGAAGAAACUAUGGCGACGGUGUGGGGUGCAUUUUGUUCAAGAACCACGAUUCCGGCGGCCUUCUUUGGAAGAGAAUAAAGCUCACUCCCAAGUCCCACCCGCAAAGCCAAUGCCAAGAAACGCCUCCCUCGCGUUUGGCAGAAUGAGGCUGUUUUGCGGGUAUGCUCUGAGAUGCCUCACCAGGAAGUAUCACAGACUGAACGUAGCGGAAAUAUUGCCAAGGACACCAAAGUCCCCAAGGUUAGAUGAGACGAAAUGAGUGAGUGAGGGAUCUACGCAAGGAUGACAAUGGGACUAGGAAAACUAAUGUCGAUGUAUAUAAUGCUUAUUCAUAUUGCGGUCUUUGUGCCUCAAAUUGCAUAACCAAAGUUUUGAUAUUCUUGAUUUUUCCUUUUAUAGGUUAGUUUAAGUCAACAAUGUGCACCAACAUAUAGUAUUUUCAGUUUAUGUCUCAUUGGGUCUUGUUUUGACUUGAAACCGAUAAUUCUACAGCUACUCUUGUUUAUUA